rnacentral:rRNA from 1 species
GCAGUGGGGAAUAUUGCGCAAUGGGCGAAAGCCUGACGCAGCGACGCAGCGUGAGGGACGAAGGCCUUCGGGUUGUAAACCUCUUUCAGCGGGGACGAAGCGAAAGUGACGGUACCCGCAGAAGAAGCACCGGCUAACUACGUGCCAGCAGCCGCGGUAAUACGUAGGGUGCAAGCAUUGUCCGGAUUUAUUGGGCGUAAAGAGCUCGUAGGCGGCUUGUCACGUCGGAUGUGAAAACUCGGGGCUCAACCCCGAGCCUGCAUUCGAUACGGGCUAGCUAGAGUGUUGCAGGGGAGACUGGAAUUCCUGGUGUAGCGGUGAAAUGCGCAGAUAUCAGGAGGAACACCGGUGGCGAAGGCGGGUCUCUGGGCAACUACUGACGCUGAGGAGCGAAAGCGUGGGGAGCGAACAGGAUUAGAUACCCGAGUAGUCC